CAGUAGCCACGGGAAUACGAAGGGGGCUAGCGUUGCUCGGAAUGACUGGGCGUAAAGGGCGCGUAGGCGGCGGCCAAAGUCAGGCGUGAAAUUCCCGGGCUCAACCUGGGGGCUGCGUUUGAUACUUGGUUGCUUGAGUGGGGAAGAGGGUCGUGGAAUUCCCAGUGUAGAGGUGAAAUUCGUAGAUAUUGGGAAGAACACCGGUGGCGAGGGCGGCAACCUGGUCCUUGACUGACGCUGAGGCGCGAAAGCGUGGGGAGCAAACAGGAUUAGAUACCCCUGUAGUCCCUGUCUCUUAUAC
rnacentral:rRNA from 1 species